rnacentral:rRNA from 1 species
GAUGAACGCUGGCGGCGUGCUUAACACAUGCAAGUCGAACGAUGAAGCCCAGCUUGCUGGGUGGAUUAGUGGCGAACGGGUGAGUAACACGUGAGUAACCUGCCCUUAACUCUGGGAUAAGCCUGGGAAACUAGGUCUAAUACCGGAUAGGAGCGCCUACCGCAUGGUGGGUGUUGGAAAGAUUUAUCGGUUUUGGAUGGACUCGCGGCCUAUCAGCUUGUUGGUGAGGUAAUGGCUCACCAAGGCGACGACGGGUAGCCGGCCUGAGAGGGUGACCGGCCACACUGGGACUGAGACACGGCCCAGACUCCUACGGGAGGCAGCAGUGGGGAAUAUUGCACAAUGGGCGAAAGCCUGAUGCAGCGACGCCGCGUGAGGGAUGACGGCCUUUGGGUUGUAAACCUCUUUCAGUAGGGAAGAAGCGAAAGUGACGGUACCUGCAGAAGAAGCACCGGCUAACUACGUG